UACGUAGGGGGCCAGCGUUGUCCGAAGUUACUGGGCGUAAAGCGCGCGUAGGCGGGGAAGAAAGUCUACUGUGAAAGCCCGGGGCUUAACUCCGGGUCUGCAUUCGAUACGGGCAGGCUAGAGUUCGGUAGGGGAGAUCGGAAUUCCUGGUGUAGCGGUGAAAUGCGUAGAGAUCUGGAGGAAUACCGGUGGCGAAGGCGGCCCCCUGGACAAAGACUGACGCUCAGGUGCGAAAGCGUGGGGAGCAAACAGG
rnacentral:rRNA from 1 species